UACGAAGGGGACUAGCGUUGCUCGGAAUCACUGGGCGUAAAGGGUGCGUAGGCGGGUCUUUAAGUCAGGGGUGAAAUCCUGGAGCUCAACUCCAGAACUGCCUUUGAUACUGAAGAUCUUGAGUUCGGGAGAGGUGAGUGGAACUGCGAGUGUAGAGGUGAAAUUCGUAGAUAUUCGCAAGAACACCAGUGGCGAAGGCGGCUCACUGGCCCGAUACUGACGCUGAGGCACGAAAGCGUGGGGAGCAAACAGA
rnacentral:rRNA from 1 species